UCGAAAGUAUGAAAGAAGCUGCCAUCUUCUUUCCGGGUCUCCAGUUGAUUGAAUAGGGGCAGCUGUAAUACCCCAAAAUUUACCCUUCAUUUUUCCUGAAAAAAAAAAGUUAAAAAUAAAUAAAUAAAUAAAAUUAAUUAAAUAAAUAAAUAAAAUAUAACAAAUUUUUUUGGACUUGGGUCUCCCUCAUUUGAGCCCACUACCCACGAAA
rnacentral:lncRNA from 1 species